UUCUUAUCAAAAAAAUUUCAAACCCAAUCGAAGCCCAAUUUUCUGAACUAUGAUAAACAUUAAUUGUAUGAAAGACACAUGUUAGAAAAUGUGGCAAACGAUUAUUCUGAAACAAAGAAAGAGACCGAUAACUUUGCCCGAAAACAUGUCAGUCCGAAACCGCCAAUCUCAAAUCUCCAUUAUACUUGAACUACUUGUAUGCUCCUACUUCCCUUAUUGGUUUACCCCUACGGUGAAUGGUCAAAUUCAUUCUACUCUUCCUAACGAACCAAAGUGACAUGUAAGAUUAGUUAAAAAAAUAAUAAAAUUAAAAGAAAAAAUGAAAAACCUUAAAUCUAAACCUUAAAUCUAAAACAAUAAAUCUUAGAUCCUAAAAUCUAAACCAUAAAACCUAAAUCUUAAACUCUAAAUCAUAAACCCAAAAUCUUAAACUCUAAACCUUAAAUCAUAAAUCCUAAAACCAAAACUCUAAACCAUUAACCAUAAACCCUAAAUCCUAAACCCUAAAUCAUUAGCACUAAAUUCUAAGAUUUUAGAGUUUAGGGUUUAAAAUUUUAGAGUUUAGAUUAGAGUUUAGAGUUUUGCAAACGGCGUUCAUGUCGGUGUUAUUUUUUUCAACCAUUUUUCUUAAAAAAAUUAUUACCUUUUUAAUGAAUCCUACAUGUCAUUUUGGCUGAUUAUAAAGUGUGGAGUGAAUUUAACCAUUCAGUAUAGUAGUGAACCUAAGUAUUGUUCUUAUUUUUCCCUCCAAUUUUUUUUUUCCGACAAAUGUAACUUUAUUAAUAAGUGUGAAUAGAAUCAUUACAAACCACAUUAGAUAACCAAUGUGGAACAUAAAUAGAAGACCAAGUAAAUAGAUUAUUGGAAUUGCAUUUCUUCGCCAAGACAUGAGCAACACCAUUAGCUUCUCUGGUUGUAAAACGGAAAUGAACUUCCUUUUUUCUGGCUCAAACAUCAAUUUUCAUUUACCAAUUUGUGGAUACAAGAUUUCAAUCUCAACGAGAUUUUAACCCCACAUACAAUGUCAAGAUCAAGUAUCACCCAUGAACACUUAGAAGGAUCUUACGCUACCAAUUAAAAACGACAUUAUAUUUUUACCACUGCGAAACGAAUUCACCCCACGACUCGGGAUGAACCGCUUCUUAGACCACCUAAUUAAACCACAACAACAAAAGUACAACGCUACUUCAAACCACUCGGACAACCAUAACUUAAGAAUACUAAUCAAAGCCCAUAACAGUUGGAGCCAAAAGAUAAGAUUGGUGUUCUUGUCUAACUGUAACUACACCUACAGGUGCAUCUUCUCAGUCGGGGGUUCCAAGUGGUGCGAAGCUUCAACCUUGACUCUUGCUUGUGAAAAAGCGGGCUGAGGAGAUAGCAUCCAAACGCGCUUCGGCUUCACCCUACAAACUGGAAAGAGGGAGCAUAUUUACCAUGUCGAGCUUUCAUUGUUUUGGUACUGCGAAUAACCACACUCCCUUACAUGUGCGUCACCGGGACUAAGGUUCUCUCGAUGACCAUUCAAAGAGCACCCUAGCCUUUCCAUGUACCACCUCUGAGAACCAAAAGGUAGCUUUCCGUGUAGGUACCUUCACGUUUUGUUGAAGUGUAAACUGUUCAAAGCAAAGCAUCCUCUCCUCCAUCUCCCGUCAGAACCAUAGACGACACUUCCAGAAGAAUGGAGGUUCAAAACACACAUGAAUCACGAGCCACUCCCGCCAACACACAUCAGCCUUCAUGGCUCCGUUCACACCCUCGAAGAAACAGAGCUUCAAUGUUCGCUUGGCCGUGGUUAAGACUCAUUAGAACAGUACCGACGCCGUAUUACUCCGGCUUCAGAACACAUACUUCUUCCAUACAGAUCUGAGCAAACCAACCGCUCACCUAACCCACAACCAGAUCUGCAGCAAAUAGAACACUCCAGAGCUUCACGCCACCACCUCCGUGCAUAGAUCCGACAGAUCUAAGGGAAAACGACUGUCGCAACCUAUCGAACCCUAAAGGCCGACCCAUCUCAUUGAAUCCUCCUCACACAGCUCGCCAGAACUCCAGACAACUGUCAUCACCACUUGUAUUUGACUCAAGAAGUUUCUUCGAUCUCCAGAGCACCAAAAAUCUCACUGCCGGGUAUGAACAUCGCCAAGAGAGCAAAAUAAAAAAACAGGGAAAGGGAUGAGAGGGACCUCCGAUGCCGGGAGAGGUCACCGGACGCCGAGUUAACGACGGCAGAAUAGAGUUUGUUCCUUCUCGACAGGAUUUGGAGUUUUUUUCUGUGGUUUUCUUCAAAGGUUGUCUUCUUGAUUGUAAAGGUGUCUCCUUCUCUUUUUAAAAAAAAAACCUCAUCUAGUUCCCUCCAAAUGAUAUUUUCUAUAAAAUUUGGGGUGUAACUGGUUAUUCAUAUAAGGAAUAUUAUGAAUUAAAGGAAUGAUUAUUUUUGGAAUAAGAAAAAAUGGAAUGAUAGAUUAAAUGGAAUAAAAACUGAAAAUAUUUUUGGAAUGAUUUUCCAUUCAUUCACGAAGGAUUAUGAUCCUGAAUAAAAGGAACAACAUUUACAAAGGAUUUGUUUUUUUGUUCCAUUCCAAAAAUGGAAUAUAUGGAAUUGUUUCUAAAACGUUUUCAUGGUAACUGGUAAACAUUUUAUGGAAACAUGUGGAAUAAUCCAUUCCAAAGAGUUUUAUUCCACAAAAUAGCAUUCCAGUUGCACCCUUGUUAUGUUUUCUUCAAUUGGUUUUCUUUUUGAAAAAUUGAUAUCUCAGUGGGAAGUUAAAUAGGCCUGACGACAAAAAGUCCGAACAGGCCCAUGGAAUUGGGUCCAUUAUUAAGUAGUUUUGGCGCGGGUUCGUUGACGAGAAACAGAGAACCCCGCCUUUUAUGUUGGCGCCAGAAACUUUGGUUAGGUUUUGUUUCGUCGUCUUAAUCGUUACCUUUCCUGAUUUUAGGAUUCUCCACUUUCUCCCGAAAACCUCUUAGUUUUUACUGGACUCACAUGGCGACCGAAACCCUAGAAGGGAAGAGACCGGGAGUCGAAUCCUCCCCGGCGAAGGAGAAAGAAGUAGCGGAGAGGAAGAACGAGGAUGAAUUGGAAGAUAUAAAAAGCGAGGAGGAGAAAGUGGAGACUCAGAGGAGUAGGGAAAGGCCAACGAGGGAGAGAAAGAAGGUUGAGCUUUUCUCCCUCUCUACUCCUCUGCGCCCUACACCCGCCAAGUCCUUUUCUAUUGAAAAGGUAUUAUUGUCUUUCUUAUUUUUGCUUCUGAUAAAUUUGGUAGAUUUUUUUUUUAAUGUAUAAAUGCGCUUCACUACUUGGGAUUUCUAUGUUUUUUCUUCAGGGUCGUGGAACACUACUCAGGGAUAUUCCAAAUGGUAUGUACUAUUUUAUUAGGAGAGAUCUGAGACAAAUGAACACCUUCAAUAAGAUUGACCUUUGGUUUGAAUACUGAUAGUCUGACUCUCUAGUGCAAUACUUUUUUUUUAAUCUCGUAGCUAUUACAAUUAAGCCCACUAUCUACUGUUUACAUUUAUUUAUUGUGUGCUUGGAAAGUUGAGUUCUUUUGACGAAGUCUUCUUGUUUACAUUUAUUUACCAUUGAAAAACUAAUCUGAAAAUGUCGGCUGCUUCAGUGGCUCAUCAACUAUCCAAGCGAAAAGCUGACGACAACCUGAUCUUACUACACACCAUUCUGUAUGGGAAGAAAGCAAAGGUGCUUUUCUAAAAAUGUUGUUAUCACAUUUUGCCACAUUUGAUAUGAAUAUUUCCCUUUCAAGCUUGUGUCCCUAUUCAUUUAAUAUGGAUGUUGUCUUGGAAGUGUAUGUCUACUUAAAAGAGUUUUGGGAAAUUGCUCUGCAGGCACAGAUGGUCAAGAAAAACAUUGGUCAGUUUUCUGGCUUUGUAUGGUUAGAGAAAGAGGUAAACCAAUUUCGUUUCUAUUUUGUUAGAAGGAUGUGUAUUCUUUUUUGUUUGCCUCAUGUUUGAGACUUGAAUGUUCUUUUCUCAGGAGGAGAAGCAAAGAGCACGAGUAAAGGAGAAACUUGACAAAUGCAUAAAAGACAAGUUAAUCUUUUUCUGUGAUGUACUUGAUAUACCUAUAAGCAGAAGCAGCAUUAAAAAGGUAAGUAAUUAGAAGAUGUGAGUUAUCUAUUUAUUCUAACCUAACCUCUAUCUGUUAUAUAACUCUCAGGAAGAAGUAGCUGCCAAGGUGCUUGACUUUUUGGAAUCUCCCAAGGCAUCACGAGAUGUUUUACUUGCUGAUCGAGAAAAGGUGUACUACUGCUUGAAUCAGUACACUAUUGUUCUACAUUAUUAUCGUCAGUAUGAAAGGAGUGUUGAGUUUUUUUUCUUCUUUUUUUGGAAAUUAUACAUUUUUAGCAAACCAAGAAGCGCAAGAGCACACAGAAAAAGAGGAAAUCUGCAGCAUCUUCAGAUACCCCAGCCAAGGUUUAUAGUUUCUUAUCUCUAAAUUAUUAGUACACUUUGUAUCCCUUGCAUGCUACUGGCUGGUAGUUGUUACCAUUAACUCAUUUAUUAGCUCAUAAAUUUUACAAACACUCUCUUGUGUAUGUUCUUCUUACUAUACAGAGGAAAAGGCAAACAAAAAAGCAAGAUCAUCCAUCUGACACAGAAGAAGGCAAGGGUGAGGAUGAUUCUGAUUCCGAAGGCACUAAGGAUACACAUGAUGAAGAUGAUGCGGCACCAGAAGAAGAUAGUGACCAUGAGAAAACUGAAGAUGAGAAAGACGAAGCCGAAGAUGAGAAGCCAUCUGCUAAGAAAAUCUCAUCGAAGAAGAUUAAAGAGGACAGCUCAGCAGGUACCAAAGGGAAAGAUAAACAAGCGUCUGCCAAAGUUUCCAAGAAAUCUGGUGAAAAGUCCUCCAAAAGAGUUGCUAACUCAACUUCAUCCCCAGCCAAGAAGCAAAAGGUUGACCAUGAGGAGUCUUCUAAAGGGAAAAGCAAGAAACAGUCAGUUAAGCCACAGGCUAAUGGAUCCAAAAACAAAGGUUAUAAACGUUUUCAACUGCUUCUAAAAACUUUUUAAGACUUAGCUAGAAUUGUGAUUAUUUAUGAAAUUAUUCUCUCGCUGCUUCUAUUUUUACAUACUAUCAUGGACUGGAUGCAGGGAAAGGCACUAAGAAAGGGAAAGUAGAGCCAACCAGAGAAGAGAUGCUUGAAUUUGUCUCCAAAAUUCUCAAGGAAGUAGACUUCAACACGGUAAGCUAGUUCAGUUUGCUGACACUGACUGAAAUUUAAUAGUCUAAAGACAUUCAAUAAAUGUUCUUAUACUCAAUUUUUUUUCUUCUUGUUAACAGGCUACAUUAUCAACUAUUCUGAAGAAGCUAAGUACGUUCUUUGAUUUUGCUUAUAUGUUUUGCAAUCCACGUUUAAUUAUACUCUCCAAAUGUUGACGAGUUUUUUGGUAACAUUUGCUGUUUGUAAUAACAUCAGGUGACCAUUUCGGUGUUGAUCUCUCGCAUAGAAAACCAGAGGUGAAGGAGGUUAUCCAAGAUGCUAUAAAUGAAAUGACUGAUGAUGAAGUAGAAGACGAAGACGAAAAAUCUGAGGCUGGAAGUGACGAGGAGAAGGAAGAAGAAGAGAAAAAAGCUGAGGCUGAAAGUAGCAAAGAGAAGGAUGAAGAAGAGGAAAAAGCUGAGGCUGAAAGUAACAAAGAGAAGGAUGAAGACGAGGAAAAGCUAAAGGAUUAAGGUGUUAGUGAGUUUCUUCUCUCAAAGAUCUGAUGUGAAGAGAAGCAAAACUUAUCAACACUGUGCACGUGAUAGUUUGUGAGUGUUAUGUAAUCUCUAUAGUUUCAUCAUAUGUAUUAUGUAGUUUCAGUGACUUCUUCUUGUGUAGCUGUUACUUGUUAGGUCUUCUAAUCCUUGUCGUAUUUGCUGCCACUUACUGGAAAUUUUAUGUUUCUGGGUUUAUUUUUAGUUUAAAGACAUCUUUGUCUGUUUUCCGAUUUUGGGCCAAAGUAAAUCAGGGUUCUUACUUAGCCCCAAAAUCCUGUCUAUAAAGUGGAGUAUUACUGAAUGAUAAUAUUUCCAGUUUUUCCUGACGCCACCUAGUGCCGGGUUUGUGGGUCAACCCGCCCCGACCCGUCCAUGCGAGUUGAAUCAUUUUUUUGAUUCCAAAAAUCGACCCGCAUAACCCGCAAACAAAAAAUUUUCUAUCCGCACCCGCCCCGCAAAAAUCCGCGGGUAACCCGCCAAACCCGCGGGUAAUAUUAAUUAUAUUAAAAAUAAUUAUUUUAAUUAAAAAUUAUUAUUAUAUAGUUAAAAAUUAUUAUUUUUAAAAAAAUUAUAUUAAAAUAAUAUAUUUAUAAUUAAAGUUAUAUAAAUAUUUACGAGACUUAAUAUAUUUUUUAUAAAAAAAAACAUUUUUUAAAAAAAAUCUUUUUUUUUUUAAAUUUGCGGGUUAGCGAGUACCCGCGACUCAAAUUCGACUGAUCCGCACCCGCUCCGCUUAAAAUAAUCUUGACCCGCACCCGCACCCGCCAUUGCAAAUUUUCAAAUUGUUCGAUCCGCAUCCGCCCCGCAGCGGGUCAAACGGGGCGGGGCCGCACCCGCACCCGCCAUUGCAAAUUUUCAAAUUGUUCGAUCCGUAUCCGCCCCGCAGCGGGUCAAACGGGGCGGGGCCCGCCACCUUAUGUUCAAUUAUUAAUAUGGGACUAGUUACAACUAAUGCUAUUUGAUUACAUAUAAUCCUCUACUGAUUCACAAAUUCAAAUGUAUCUUCUAUUUUAAUAAAUCAACUAUCCCAGUGAGACCUUUGUUUGUGAAGGGUUUGGUUUAUAAUCUGGUGGCUUAAGACUAGCCACCAACUCCUUAUACUUUACCAUUUACACUCAGAUUGAAUCACGUUUUACACACGAAUAGAAGUCAAAGGCUCUACAGUUCUUCAAACUCUAAGUGUAAACGUAAACAAGAUAAUAGAUCCAUUUACAUAGACUGAUCAAAGAUGGCUCCAUAAUUUGAUAAUUACAUAUUAAUCAUAUAUCAGUCAACCACCAACUGCUAAAUAUAUAUAAUCUUCAAUUGUUUCAUUCCCUUACUUACGGCCUUUACCAUCUACAAUUAAUUUGAAGUAUAUAUUUCCUAAAGUUACAUCAAAGUAUUGCUGAAAAAAAUUCGAGCAUCUUACAAGUUAUGAUUUAGAUUUUAAUUAUACAAUUUAAAUGAUCCAAUUGUGGCUGGUUCUUGACAUAUGUAUAACAUGUGUACUCUUCUUCUUUUUUUUUUUUUUUUUUGUAACUGAUAAUAUGUGUACUCUUGACAUGUACAAUAUGGGAUCAGCCCAGUCAGGAAUGAAUCAAAUGUUUUCGUUUUCACUUUGUUACGUUAAUCAGUUUAGUUAAAUGCAUGCAAACUCAAACAAAUGAAUUAUUUAGAACCAAUCGUAAUAGAGUCCGUUCUAUUAGACCGAUCUAUCUCGUCACAACAUCCACAACUAAGAAUAUCAUAUAUCCUGGAAACUAAACUCAAUUCUUUAAAAAAUUAUUUCUAAAAAAACUCUUAAAAGUGUUAAUCUCAAGACUCCUCUCUUUUUGAUCUUACUUCCACCAUUUGCUGAAAUAUUUACUUGUACCACAAUUAACCUCAAACCCUAGCCUCUACUUAACCCCUUUGAUUAAAUCCCAAAAGAAAUCAAAGCCAUUCCUAAUCCUCUAAACAUAUAACAUCUUUGGUUUCUCUUCACCAACAAAAACCCUAAAAAUGGCCGACUCAUUCGAGCUCAUUGUAACCAGAAAAGAUCCUGUUCUCGUCUCUCCAGCCUCCGAAACUCCAAAAGGCAUCCACUACCUCUCAAAUCUCGACCAAAACAUAGCCAUCAUCGUUAAAACAUUCUACUACUUCAAAUCAAACUCAAGAUCCAACGAGGAAUCCGCUGACGUCAUCAAAAAGUCACUCUCCGCGGUUCUUGUUCACUACUAUCCUGCCGCGGGGAGACUCACGAUCAGUCCCGAAGGGAAGAUCGCCGUGAACUGCACCGGAGAAGGAGUCGUGGUGGUGGAAGCAGAGGCUAAUUGUGGGAUAGAGAAGAUAAAAGACGCUAUAUGGGAGAUUGAUCAACCGGAGACUCUUGAAAAGCUUGUUUACGACGUUCCCGGUGCCCGGAAUAUUCUUGAGAUUCCACCGGUGGUUGUUCAGGUGAGGGGCUGAUCGAUCCAUACUCUUUUACUGCUUGCUGUUUUGCGUGAGUGAACAAACUUGAUCACUUAAACUAGGGUUUGGUCCGAUGUAGGUUUCAAAUAAAUAUUUUAUAUAUCAAAACUAGAUUGAUAGAUCCAUUAUAUUGAUCAUGCAUGCAGUAAAAUAAAUUCAAAUUUCAAAAAUAUUUAUUCACAUACACAAAUAUAUGGAUAUACCAUUUAUUAGUUAUGUUCUGAUAAUAUAUUUGUUGGAGUGUCAAUUGCAUUUUUAAAAUUCUUUUUUUUUUGCCUUAUAUUCUUAGGCAAAUCUCCUAAAUAACCAUUUUUAAGUUUUGUCAAAAAAUUUACUUUCUUUUUGUAUAAGUAAAUUUUACAUUUAUAUCAGGUGUUACUGUAUUAAAAAUCAAGGAAAAGAAUAUAGAGAUGUUGAUUGUAAAAGACAAACUAUCUUCUAUAUAUACACAACUUUUGUCUUUUUUCUUCUUCUGUUUAUUAGGUAACAAACUUCAAAUGUGGAGGAUUCGUGUUAGGCCUAGGCAUGAACCACAACAUGUUCGAUGGUAUUGCAGCAAUGGAAUUCCUUAACUCAUGGGCCGAGACUGCUCGUGGCCUUCCACUCUCAGUCCCACCUUUCUUGGACCACACACUUCUCCGACCAAGGACACCACCAAAGAUCGAGUUCCCACACAACGAGUUCGAAGAGCUUGACGACAUCUCCGGCACCGGAAAACUCUACUCGGACGAGAAACUCGUGUACAAAUCUUUUCUGUUUGGACCCGAAAAACUUGAGAAGCUCAAGAUCAUGGCAGAGUCAAAAACCACGACAUUCCAAACCCUGACCGGAUUUCUAUGGAGAGCUCGUUGCCAAGCCUUAGGGCUUAAACCAGACCAACGUAUAAAACUUCUCUUUGCUGCAGAUGGACGGUCAAGAUUCGUUCCGGAACUUCCUAAAGGAUAUUCAGGAAACGGGAUUGUGUUCACUUAUUCGGUUACAACAGCAGGUGAAGUGACUCUAAACCCUCUUUCUCAUACAGUGGGGUUGGUCAAAAGUGCGGUUGAAAUGGUAACCGACGGUUUCAUGAGGUCAGCGAUUGAUUACUUCGAGGUGACUCGUGCUAGGCCGAGUCUAACGGCGACGCUUCUGAUCACAUCGUGGGCAAAACUAUCGUUUCAUACUAAAGAUUUCGGUUGGGGUGAGCCGGUUGUGUCUGGACCGGUCGGUUUACCUGAGAAGGAAGUGAUUCUGUUUCUGCCAUGUGGCAGUGAUACGAAGAGUAUCAAAGUGUUGCUUGGACUUCCUGGUUCGGCGAUGAAGGUGUUCGAAGGGCUUAUGGAUAUUUGAUCAUUAUAGUCUAUGCAUGUGUUUGAAUUAAUUAUGGUUUAAAAAAAAAACAAAUAAUGGAUGAUCGAUUAUAAAAUAUUAUUGCUCGUCGGUGAAGCAAAAUGUAACUAAGACAUGCCAAGUAUCAAGCUUAAUAAAUAAAGAAAGCUAUUGUGUUACUCAAAUGGUGUUAGUUAAGAGCUCAAAAUCUUUAAUUUUCUUCUUUAAAUUAUGAAUGUUUCAACACGUAAUUCAUAUAUAGUCACAUUGAUUCCACACAAUAUAUACAAUUAACACUAGAAGAAUGAAUAUAAAUACAGUUCAAAAAAAAAAAAAGAAUGAAUAUAAAUAGACUCGUCAAGCUUAAUCCUUCUCUCUGAAGCUCAAUUGUAAUGUCUAAUAUAGUUUUGGUACGUAUGUGUUGUGCAUUCUAAACCAAUAUAAAAUAAACUAGAUAAUUAACGUUCGUAUCAGAGUUAAAGCUUUAGAGAUUUAUCAAGAUUCUAGAGGCAGUUAUAAUUUCAAACAAGUUCUAUAGUAAAUUUGGCACUAACACAUAACUUUUUAUUUUAAAUAUGUUUUUUUCUCACGUCUAAAAAAUAUAAAUUAAAUAACACAAUUGUAGAUAUAUAUUUUCUAUCAAUAAAGACAUUAAUGUUUUUGUUUACUCAUAUCUAAGAAAAAAGACAUUUUAAAAUAAUUUUCUGAAUAGUUAUUUUUGGGUUCACCAACCAAUAGGAUUUCAUUAUUUCAAAUUCGAUAUCUUUUAAAAAAGGAAACAAAAUAUUGUCAAAUUAUAUUAUGUUUUUAAAAUAAAAAGGUAAAAAAAAGUAGUUACAAAAAAAAAGAAUUUUUUAAAAAAAUAUUGUUAAUAUUGCCAGUAAAACACUAAACCCUAAAUCCUAAUCCCUAAACCCUUAAUCUGAAAUCCUAAACCCUUAAGUAAACCCUAAACUCUAGGGUAAACCCUAAACUCUUGAGUAAACCCUAAACCUUUGGAUAAACCCUAAAUCCUUGGAUAAAUCAUAAAUUCUAAAUCAAAACACUAAACACUAAAAUCCUAAACUCUUAAGUGUUUUAGUGUUUAGUGUUUUUGAUUUAGAAUUUAUGAUUUAUCCAAGGUUAUAGGGUUUAUCCAAGGGUUUAGAGUUUCAGAUUUAUGGUUUAGGGAUUAGGAUUUAGGGAUUAGGAUUUAGAGUUUAGUUUUUUCCUCACGACGUUAAAAAUAUUUUUUUGUAAUUACUAUUAUUUUUUAUUUUUUAUUUUUUAUCUUUUUAUUUUAAAAGCAUAAUAUAACUUGACAAUAUCUUGUUUCUUUUUUUAAAUGAUAUCGAAUUUGAAAUAAUAAAAUUUUAUUAGUUGGUGAAUCUAGAGGUUCAUCCUAUGGAAUGAACCUAAGAAUAAGUCUUUUCUGAAUCAAUAGAAGCACUCAAGCACAUACCACUAAAUUAAAAUAUGGUAUCCAACUAUCAAUUUGAGAAUUCGGUAACCGGGUAAGAUCCAACCGGAUCUGGACAUAUAAAAACAGGAUUGCUCGCCAUCUAUCGCCUUAUCUUGUUGACUCUUCUUCUCUCAGAAAGCCCCCCCAACCCACUACGAUUACUACCAACUCCGUCUCCGACCGCGAGAGCAAAGAUGUCGGCGACGCUAACGGGAUCGGGAACUGCCUUGGGCUUUUCAUGCUCCUCGAAGAUCUCGAAGAGAGUCUCUUCCUCUCCGUCUACUCGCUGCAGCAUCAAGAUGUCAGUUUCCGUCGACGAGAAGAAGAAGAGCUUCACCCUUCAGAAGUCCGAGGAAGCUUUCAAUGCCGCCAAGGUCAGUAGUGACUCACCCGAUUCGUUAAAAAUCUAAACUUUGAUUGAAUUGUCUAUUAGAGUUGAAAUGAUCAGACUUUGGGUUACAAAGGACUAACCUUUAUUUUCAAAAAUGGUUUCUUUUUCAUGUUUAGAAUCUUAUGCCUGGAGGUGUUAACUCCCCUGUUCGAGCCUUCAAAUCCGUUGGUGGGCAACCCGUUUUGAUUGAUUCAGUUAAAGGCUCAAAGAUGUGGGACAUCGAUGGUAACGUGUACAUUGACUACGUUGGAUCUUGGGGACCAGCUAUCAUCGGCCACGCUGACGACGAGGUUCUCGCGGCUCUAGCUGAGACCAUGAAGAAAGGAACAAGCUUUGGCGCUCCUUGCCUCUUAGAGAAUGUUCUAGCCGAGAUGGUUAUCUCAGCUGUUCCCAGCAUUGAGAUGGUUCGGUUUGUUAACUCCGGGACCGAAGCUUGUAUGGGUGUGCUUCGUCUCGCCAGAGCCUUCACUAACAAAGAGAAGUUCAUCAAGUUCGAAGGUUGUUAUCACGGUCACGCCAACGCCUUCCUUGUGAAAGCUGGUAGUGGUGUAGCCACUUUAGGACUACCUGACUCGCCUGGUGUACCUAAAGCAGCUACUUCAGAUACUCUAACGGCUCCGUACAAUGAUAUUGAAGCUGUUGCGAAGCUCUUCGAGGCUCAUAAAGGAGAGAUCUCUGCGGUUAUUCUCGAACCUGUUGUUGGUAACUCUGGUUUCAUCACUCCUACGCCUGAGUUCAUCAAUGGUUUAAGGCAGCUGACUAAAGACAAUGGUGCUCUUCUCAUCUUUGAUGAGGUCAUGACUGGGUUUCGUUUAGCUUAUGGUGGAGCUCAGGAGUACUUUGGAAUCACUCCUGACUUGACUACUCUUGGGAAAAUCAUCGGUGGUGGUCUUCCCGUGGGAGCUUACGGUGGAAGACGAGAUAUUAUGGAGAUGGUAAGAUCUGAACCUACACGUAGAGAUGUUAAAUGGGUCUUAAGCCCACGGGCCUAGUAUAAAAUUAUUCGUAGCUCAUUUAUUAUCAUUUAAAAGUAAAUGGGCUUAUAUAGGUCAGCCCUUUUAGGCCGGUUUACUUUACGGGCACACCCUUUAAAUAAAAGGGUAUCCGUUUAGGUCUGAUUAAAAUUUUAAAUUUAUUUUUUAAGCAUUGUAGGAUUUAAUAUUUUCUGUUUUUUUGUUGCAGGUUGCUCCUGCAGGACCAAUGUACCAGGCUGGGACACUAAGUGGUAACCCGUUGGCAAUGACGGCAGGGAUUCACACGCUGAAGCGGCUUAAGCAGCCAGGGACAUACGAGUAUUUGGACAAGAUCACCAAGGAGCUAACCAACGGGAUCUUGGAAGCAGGGAAGAAAACAGGACAUCCAAUGUGCGGUGGUUACAUAAGUGGUAUGUUCGGUUUCUUUUUCGCUGAAGGUCCGGUGUACAACUUUGCUGACGCCAAGAAGAGCGAUACGGAGAAGUUUGGUAAGUUUUUCAGAGGAAUGUUGGAGGAAGGUGUUUACUUUGCACCGUCUCAGUUCGAGGCUGGGUUUACUAGCUUGGCUCACACUUCCGAGGAUAUACAGUUCACCAUUUCUGCGGCCGAGAGGGUCCUCGGAAGGAUCUAGAGCGUUCUUGUUCUUGUUUUUGUUUUAUUCAUCGGUAGCUUGAGAGUUUUGUAUGAUGAAAUAGCCUUUAUGGUGUAUUCUCCUGAAGUAUUAUUGUUUUGUGCAUUCAAAUGUAUUUGUUCUGUCCGAUUGUUCGGAAUACGACCACACAAACUAAUGUUGCUAUUGAGUUCAAGUUUCCUCAGAAACAAGUUUAAAGAAAAAUAUAUAAGCAGUGAAAAAGAGAUUUCCAUAAUCUUGCUCGCGGGGAAAAUAGCCGAUUGAUGUCUGAACUAGGGUCAUCUUAUCUAAUAAAUACACAAACUAUUUCGCUGAGUGAGUUUGUACCCAUCUAAUAAAAAAUUAAAUUCAAUAUCUAAACUUAUAAAAAAUGGCUUCUGCGUACCCGCGACUGACAACAUGUUAGAUGGAUUUCGACCGCCGGCGGUAUUGGAACAGAGUUUUCUAGGUCCUAGCGAGCCUCGCAGGACCGGUUGUUGCGGGACUGAGAUUUUCCAGUAUGGACUGAAGUAGCCAUGCGGAUUACAAAGAUCCAUGUCUUUUUUUCUUCAUUUCUUGUUUUACCUGAAAAAAUGAGAGAGAUGUGAGAAUAAGGUAAUUCAGGUGACUUCCCCUGAAAAAUAAAAAGAGCUCCGGGGAUGACGAUUUGAGCUCCAACAAUUACGAUUCGAACUUCGGCGAAGAUGAUUCGAGCUCCAGCGAUGACGAUCGAAUUCUGGCGGUGUUUUGAUUUGUUGUUCUCUUUUCUAUUUACUUUUGAAUUGGCAGUUUUGAUUUGGUGUUUUGUUUUGUUUUAUUUUUGGAUACAUCGAACUAAACCAUUAGUUAUGAACUUAUGAGUUAUAAGCUAAUUUGAAAAAUCUUAUGCAAUUAUCUUUUCUUAGUAUGUUAAUAUGUUUAGAGUGUGACAUAAGUAAUUACAAUUAUUGUUUUGAAUAACAAAUAAGCAAAUUAAUGACUUAUGAAUCAUGUAAAAUUCAAUCGACGACCUAAAUCAUGUUUUAGAGUGGCAUGAAGCGUCAUGUUGUGUGUAUUAUCACAUGUUUCGCGGACCGACCCGCAAAAGCUUGUACAUAUAGCGGGAUGGGUUUGGGUAGCCUUUCCGAAGACCGUGGCCCGCACAGACCCGACCCACCGUGACUCGCUUGAAGACAAUUUUGUAGCAGUCCGGGACGGUACGGAACAAUAUGUUUGACAUCUCUCAGGAACAUGCUAAGGUAGACCGGUUUCUUGAGUUGGCUAUUUUUAAGUUAAAUGAUGUUAUUUCAUGAAAAAAAAUAAUAACAAAACAGAAAACAUGGUAACCCUAGUUCGAACCUAGGUUGCAAAUAUUUAAGUAACCUCAUUAACCAUUUGUUCUACUGAAGAUUCAUUGUUAACUUAAAAGUAGCCAACUCUUCCAAAAAUCGGUCCACCAUGUUACCAAUAUAUUGUCAGUCGCAGAUUAAAAGCCGUUUAGGUAUCGAAUUCAAUUUUUUACUAGAUUAGGUAUAAACUCGCACAGUGAAAUAAUUGGUAUAUAGAUUAGACAAUAUGACCUAGUUCAGACACUUAUCGAACGUUUUUUCCCAUUAUCGCGUAACGAUGACACAAGCAAAGUUUGGUUUCGUUUUUCAACAUGUGCAUAAGCUAAUAGAUUAAUAGGUGGUGGUAUGACUUAUGUGGUAGUGAUUAUUUUAUAUACAAACAAUACAAGGGGUUGGUGUGAUUUAACAUAGGAGAGUACGACGUCUUAUAGACUAUUAACUCAAAUUAAAUCUAACACUGAAAAUUGUUCGUGAAAGUUGUGAAAGUGUUGCUGAAAAAGUUUUUCUUUUCUUUCUAAUCACGUUUUCUCUUAUAAAUCCAAUCAUUUUUUAUUACCGAUGAUUAGUGAUCGAAAAAUAGUAUAAGUGCUGAGAAGUUUCUUGGGCUUCCAUCUAAAACCAAUUGGCAAUUAGUGGAUUGAUCCAAGUCCCUUAUAUAUUAUUCAAAUCCCUUUCAUAUAUCCGAUGUGGGAUCUUCUCUCCAAUACCCUCCCUCGAGAUAAUGGUGUGUAUAACCAUUAAUCUCGCAGAAUCCAUCAUACCCCCUCUGAAAUCAUGCUUUAUUUUCUAGCAAUCUCGGCGGAACUGAGCCUUCUAUAGGCCAUCAGCUAAUGGGAUGAUCGGGCCACUGUCCGGGCCGGAUUAAUGGGUCAGGGUAUCGGGCCCGCUCUGAUACCAUGAUAAGUUUCUUGGGCUUCCAACUUAAAACCAAUUAGCAAUUAGUGGAUUGACCCAAGUCCCUUAUAUAUUACUCAAGUCCCUUUCAUAUAUUCAAUGUGGGAUCUUCUCUCCAAUACCCUCCCUCGAGAUAAUGGUGCGUAUAACCAUUAAUCUCGCAGAAUCCAUCAUACCCCCUCCGAAAUCAUGCUUUAUUUUCUAGCGAUCUCGGCGGAACUGAACCUUCUAUGGUCCAUCAGCUAAUGGGAUGAUCGGGCCACUGUCCGGGCCGGAUUAAUGGGUCAGGGUAUUGGGCCCGCUCUGAUACCAUGAUAAGUUUCUUGGGCUUCCAACUUAAAACCAAUUGGCCAUUAGUGGAUUGAUCCAAGUCCCUUAUAUAUUACUCAAGUCCCUUUCAUAUAUUCAAUGUGGGAUAUUCUCUCCAAUAUGUGCCUUGCUGUGAUAUAUUCUUGUCGUAUUCUUGUCAAACAGUAUAAAAGGAGAUUUUUUUUUUUGUUUGAAUAAAAUUUAUAUUUUUAUAAUAUUUUUUGAAAGUUGAUUUUUUUAUAUGUCCUACUCACAUAUAUUUAUAAAUAUAAUAAAAGGAUGAAUCAAACUAUAUGAACUUAAAACUAAUCAAAUUAGAAUGAUAAUAAAUUGAUUCAAUUAGAAAGAAUAGAGGGAACGUAAUUUCUAAACCUGCGCCUUUGAUCUCAAGAAAACAAUUCUCGUACGUUGCCAAAUGCAAUGAAUGAUAAACAUCGACAAAAGCAGUCAACAAAGUUAAAACUAUGGGAAAGGCCUUUGCCACCACAUGGCCCACACCACAACAUUUCACUAUUUAAACCAAACCUCUUGGCGUCCAACUUCGCCAUCGUUUCCAUUUACGAUCAUGGAAGUCAAGAAAGACCAGCACACAUCUCCACCGUCCGAGACGAUCCCUAUCGUUGAUCUAAGCAACCCUGACGAAGAGCUAGUGUCCCGUGCGGUGGUGAAGGCGAGCCAAGAGUGGGGGAUAUUUCACGUGGUGAAUCAUGGGAUCUCGAUGGAUCUGAUACGGAGGUUGAAGGAGGUUGGUACACAGUUCUUCGAGCUACCGGAGACGGAGAAGAAAGCCGUAGCGAAACCAGAUGAUUCCCAAGACUUCGAAGGCUACACGAGGAAUCUCAAGUAUACAGAAGGAGAGGUUUGGGCAGAUAAUCUUUUCCACAGAAUCUUGCCACAGUCAUGUAUAAACUACAAAUACUGGCCGAGAAACCCUCCGCAGUACAGGUACGAGGAAUCUUUAGGAUACAAAUUAAUGGUUGUUAUAAAAUACGGCACUAGAAUGAAACAUUCAUCAAAAUGUUGUAUGCUCACGUUGAAUAAGAUGUCAUUAAUAUCAAUACCAUUAAAAGAUGAUCAUUCUCAAAUUAUACCCUUAAUGAAAAUUGCAUUUUUUCUCAAAAAUACCUUUAUUUUUACAAGAGAUUAAUAAAAUUCAUUAAUGACAUUUAAGUCUUUUGGUUUUCAGCUUACAGAUACACCUAAAUGGAUCUACAAAUAAUGGACUUAUAUAUAUUUAAAAGAUAUACUAACUUUAAAUUUAAUAUAAAUAUAAAUAUAUUAUGAACUAUAAAUAAAUUAAGAAACAUGAAAAUAUUAUUUUAUUAAAUAUACGUAUCAAUAUUCAACAUAGAUCAUUUGAAUAUUAUACAUAUUUUCAAUACAAACCCAAAUCCUAUAUCCUACACCAUAUAUCAUAUACAUAUUUGAAUAUCAUUUUUCCAUGUAUAAUGUCAUUUUAUAUAUAAUAUUGAUAUGACAAUUACGAGUGUUCAAGAAUAUUUUAAAAACUAUUUUAAAAUAAAUUUUUAAAUCUAAAAUAAAAACACAAACUUAUAAUAGAUUAUUAAUACGGAAAAUAAACUAAUAUUGUCAUAUCAAUGAGUUUUUUUAUAUUAUCAUCUUUUAUUUGGAUACAUAAUAAAAUUUUAUCAAAUUCUAAAGAAUCACUAAUUUAUGUAAUAUUAAUAAAUAUAUGAGUAAUUUAAUCAAUUUAAAAAAAGUACUAUCAGAUAUUUUGUAAUCGGAUCAAUGGUAUCAGAUCGCACGUUAAUAGUGAGUUGUUGGAUUUUCACCGGGUUAUAUCAUAUUUUUAAUUAACGGAUUUUUUAUUAAAUCCGAACCGGAUUAUAUACAAUGUAUCGGGUUUAUAGGUUCAACCAUGAAUCUAGAUCAAAUAUGAAAACAAAUCUUAAAGCUCAAACAUUAUUAUAGAAAAACUACUAUAUUUCGAACAAAUACCAUAUUUUGAAAGAGAAAAAAAACAAAUGAUAAAAAUCUAAAAACUCAAUUGUUAUGGUUCAGAACAAAAAUAAUGGUAAUUUGUAAAUUAGUUUUCGAUUAAUAAAUGAAAAACAAACAAAUCCGCGGAUCAAAAUCUAGUUUACUCACUUAUAUUUCAUUCAUAUUUAUUACAUUAAUUCUGCUCAUGCUAACGUUUUAUUACAUUCGAACUAGUUGUAAAAAAAAAUCAAAUUAAUUCAUAUUGUUAGCAUUUGAUUCUUUUGGCGGCAAUGGGUGGUUAUAGGGAGGUGACUGAAGAGUACACAAAGGAGACCAAGAAGCUAUCGGAGAGGCUUUUGGGUUUUUUAUCAGAAGGAUUAGGGCUACGGCAUGAGGCGUUAAAGGAAGGUCUCGGUGGCGAAAAGUCGGAGUAUGUACUGAGAAUCAACAACUUCCCGCCUAAUCCACAACCGGAUGCGACCUUGGGACUGCCGGAGCACACUGACAUCGUCGCACUCGCACUCAUCGUCACCAAUGAAGUUCCAGGUCUUCAGGUUUUCCAUGAAGACCACUGGUUUGAUAUCCAGUACGUUCCCUCUUCCAUAACAGUCACCAUCGGUGAUCAGAUACUGGUAUGUUUUUGUCUUUUUUUUUGUUUAUAACCUAAUGUCAUAAACCAAAACCCCGACUAGUGGUCAGCAAGGCCGGAUCUGAAACUGCGGGCUAUAAACAUUUCUUUAAGAACUUCAAUAAUUUUAUUUACUUAAUUUGGGGUCUAUUUCAAUAUAAAAAAAUUUCAAAUUUUUUGAGGGUCAAGGCCAAUGUUCCAUCCGGCAGUGCCUAGAUUAAGCCUGCUAAUGGUAGAAUAUGUGAAGAACAUGAAGUUGGCUACGUUCAUAGUUGGUAACCAUAAUUUAUUUUGUUGUGGAUGAAUAUAUAUUAUGAAAUAUAAGUAUAGAUUAUAUCACUAGUUUUUGGUGGAUCUUGCAGAGGCUGAGCAACGGGAAGUACAAGAAUGUGUUGCAUAGAGUAACGGUGGAUAAAGAAAAGCAGAGGAUGUCGUGGCCGGUUUUUGUCGAUGCUAAUCCUGAUGUCGUUAUCCGUCCAUUGCCGGAGCUGAUUACCGGCGAUAAUCCUUCUAUGUUCAAGCCUAUUGUCUGCAAGGACUUUAAAUACCGUAGGCUUUUCAAGCUUCCGGUCGAUUGAUCCAAAUGAUAAUCAGUUUAUUUUUCUUUGUUUCUCCUUUCUACAAAUCAAAAUCCCCAGUCCUAUUUUACCAAAAAAACAAUCCCCAGUCCUGUGUGUGUGUUAUGCUACGUAUUGUAAAAAUUAUCUUCUACGUAAGUUUAGUUAUGCAAAAGGACCAAAUAAUUUACUACAUUUUGAAGUUUAUAUAAUUAACAAGAAGAGCCUUUAUCAAUGGUUUUAAAGAUUUAUUAUUCUUUAUCGUAAUCGAAUAUGGGGUUUGUCGACCAAACAUUGAUAAGUCCUUAAAGAUGUAUUAGAUUUUGAUCCGCGCUUGGAAAGCGCAUGUUUGUUUUCAAAAUUAAAUAUAGUUUUCUAAAAUGAAUUGCUACAUAAUAUAUAUAGUGUAUAGGUUUGUGUACAUUUAUCCGAAACCACGAACUAAACUGUAGCAAACUGGAAAAAAGAUGAAACCUAAACUAAACUGAAUUUCAUAAAUAAUCGAGCAAAUCUUAUAUUUCAUGUACCAAAAAACUGAAAUCAAUCGUGAAACAUUUAAAUGGUACCAAAUACGAAUAAAACAUUUUAUUUUGAAAAUUAUUUAACUCCUUUUAGCAGGAGUACAUAUGUAGUUCAUUGACGAAUUAAGAUAUAAGAAUUGUUUUCAUAUUUGAAAUGAACUUUCUUGAUGAGUCAUAAAUGUAAUGAAUGAGAUUAAUGGGUGUGUAUAGUUUUUAAGCCCAAAAACUAUAAGAAAAAAAUUAUCAAUCUUAAAAAAAUUAAUUUUUUUUUGUAAAUUUAGAGGUGUCUUUGAGAAAAUUGACAUUUUUAUUAAAGAAUAAAUAGGAAUGUUUCUGGUUUAAUAGUAUAAAUGGAAAUUGUAUUUUAUCUUCCUCUUAAAUUUUGGAGAUAUUAUUGUUAGCAUAAUUUUAGAAGCAUUGAAAAUAUAUUAAAUUUUGUAAUUUUGAAAUUGAUUAUAUUAGGUUUGUUAGAAGUUUAAUUGAGGAAGUUAUGGUAUAUUCGAAUAUUUAGGAUAUAUUUCAUUACUAUCUUUGAUAUAUUCUCUAGUAUUAUUUAAGACUUGUUAAAAUAUGGAAGUUGUUCGUCAAUAUGCAAAAAUAUUAAUGAUCUUUUUUUUGAACAUUAAAAAUAUUAAUGAUCUUGUAAGGCACCAACAUCAGUCGCUAUCAAAUUUUCAAAUUCCAUGCAAGUUUUAUAAUCUCGUUUCAACGUAGAUUUGUGAUUGCAAAAUUUUGUGUUAAUCUUAGCUCCAUAAAAGAUGAUUUUCAUAACCGCUGUUACUUGCAUAAUUUUUGAUGAUGUAUAAAUUAAAGUGCAUAUUCACCAAAACAAUAAAGUAUAUUUCAUUUUCAUUCAAAGAUCCCACGUAAGAUUUGUGUAGAUGAGAAUAAGGCUUACCAAUUACGAAUGACAAAAUCUUGAAUAAUUUUAAUGAUAGUGUAAAUUUGCAAGCAUAUUCUCGUUUAAAACUCUUGUAAAUUAUAUGGCUAACUCACAAAAGGAGUAAAAAAUGGUGAAUAAUAUGGUAUAUAAUGUUAUUGAAUAUUGAGUUACGUAUUGUUAGAGAUAAAUAAGGAAAGACCAAAAAAUAUUAAUGAAAGGGUCCAACAACCUUUCAGAAGUAGAUUUUUUCAUAAUAUUUAUCUUUUAAUCUCCUAUAUAUUAUUUGAGAAGCAUUGCAACAUUUUUUUGUAGCCACGUGUCAUCACUAUAAUGAUUCUUAGAAUCCUUAGAGAAAUAGGUUGGUCCAUCUAAAUAUAUAAUAAGAUUUUUAUUAAACCACAAUAAAUACAUUAUUAAUGUGCUUCAUUAUUUCCUUAAAUAAGAUUACAGAAUUGCCUAAUGUGGCUAAUAUAUAUAUGACAAUUAAUGAUUUUGAAUAAUAAAGAUUUGAUAAAAAUAAGUGUGUAUUAUAAUUAUAUUUUUUUAAUUUUAAACAAUUAAAAUAAAUUAAACAACCAUAGUAACCAUAUAAUAAAAAUUAAACAAAUUUACUUAUAUAUUAUAUUUUAAAUUUUUAAAAACAAGUAUAAAUUACUAAAACUGUUAAAAGUUUCACAUUCAAAUUUUGUGAUCUAUGAUUUAAAACUUUUGUUAUGACAUUAUACAAAUAAUUAAAAAAUAAUAUAAGUUGAAAGUCUCAUUUAAUAAGUAUCAAAAAUAAAAGAUAUAUAAAUAUAUGUAUCAUUUUAAAAAUAUAUGUAUCAUUUUAAAUUAAAUUAUAUGCCAUAUAAAAAUACACAAAUAUCUUAAUUUUGAAAUUUACUUUGAACAUUUUUUUGAUAAAAAAUUUGAAAAAAUAUUGACAACUUAAUUUUUUAAAAUAUUAUAAAUUACUUAAACCAUUAAUCCUACAGUGAAAAUUUUGUUAUCACUAAUUUAGACUUUUUGCUAUAACAGAUACAAAUGAUAAAAAAAAUAUGAGCAAAAAGCAUCAUCUAAUAAAUAUUAAUAUUAAAAUAUACCAUAUAUAUGUUAUUAUCAUUUAAAUUUAAUUAUAUAUCAUAUCAAACAGAAAAAAUAUUUUUUCGAUUUGUAAAGUUUAUUUAUAUGUUCGCACCAAUUUAAUUAUAUAAGUAGUAGAUAAUGACUUUUUAAUUAUUCAAUAUUAUUUAUUAUUUCAUAAUAUGUUAUAAACAUAUAAUAUAUAAAAUAAUUUUUAUAUAUAAUGUUCAUUCCGCGCAAGGCGCGGGUCUUAACCUAGUAGUAUAGAUAAUUUCAAAACUUACCAAUAAGAAAGUUUGGAUUAAGAAGACCACUUUCUAUGGUUUUGAAAUCAACCAGAUUAAGAAACAUAUUGUCAUCUCGGUAUGUAGAAUCCGUGAUUUUGGUGUUGCCAUUAAAAGCUAUUCGAUACUUAUGAUCAGUUCAUAUGUACUAUCAAUGUUUCUCCAUACUCCAACACGGACAUGUUUGGCAACUUCAGCAAAGUAAGUCUUAUUACACGAAGCAUGGAUUUUGUUCCCUUUGAAAUGAUAAAAAGAAUUAUAUCCGUUAGCUUGUAUCUUAACAAAAUCAACAUAUAGAAAUAACAAAUCUAUAUAGAACAUUAAAUUUACAUUUGCAUCACAUAGGAUUAGUUCCAAAGAUUCUCCAACGUCUUUCAUGAAAUGUCUCCAUGUAUGAAUGUUCUUCACUUGAAUGCGACAUGCAGUCUUGCGUGGUUUGAUAUCGUUCAAAAAAGUUAGCUGCAUAUUGUUUGCCAUUUUUUUCUGUAUCACUAGGUUUGAUGAAAAUCGUGGUUAAGUUAUGCUUUAUUUAUAGUAGGUAGGUGGUACAGCGGAUUUAGGUUACACAAAUGCAGGCCAGCAUAUUUUUAAGAUUUGAUCAAAUAUAUUAUUUUGUGGAAUAAAGAAUAUAUGCGAGAAUAUUAUAAUUAUAAUAUAUUUUUUUUUUAAUUUGUAAGAGUUAAUAUUAAUCCAACUAAAGUAGGUUAGCGACAAUUCUGUAAGUAUAAUCACAAUAAGAACUGAUUGUGAUAUUAAAUAAAACUUGUAGAGGAAGCAAUAUAAAUAUUUCCGGAUCUUGUUAAACAAAAUCGUAUCUAUAAUAUAUUUUUUUGAAAACUUUGUAACGAUUUAGGCAAUAUGAUCGCGGAUUUUAAAAUUUUAGUUGUUCUUCGAUUUUAAAAUUUUAAUUGUUAAACUUGUACCGGACUGUUUGAAUCAUACCAAGUUUGCGCUAAAAUGGUCUGAUUUGGUAUAGAUAGCUUAUAUAUUAUGAGAUGAAUAAGGUAUUAUAGAUAGCUUGUACAUUAGAUUUUGAGAUGAAUAAGGUGGUUUAGUCUAGUGAGUGUUAUAGUGUUCUAACUCAAUAAUAUUGUCAUGGUUAUAAUAUGAAUGAGAUCAAUAUAUUGAAGAAGAAACAGGGGUUUCCGUGUACUAUAAGGCAUACCAACUACGACAUUGUCGUAUAUACAUCGUACGUUUUUUUAUUUCACAUGGCCUAUUAGGAAGGGAAAUUGCACCCUAUAACCACAAAAAAAAACACAAACCCAGUAUCUAACCAAAAACACGUUCUCUCUCCUUAUUUCUCUUCCUAUCUCUCUCUAACCUCUCACUAAAAAUCUAAUUACUCUUUUUUUUUGGUUAUUUGGCAAAUAAGCCCUAUUAGGAACAUCUAAUAUAUAGACUAAAACAUAUGUGACAUUAUAUGGAGUAAAAGCCCUUAAAUUAUCAUUGAGUAAUAUAUGGUAAUGUAUAUAGUAGGCAAAAUAAAAGGUAGACCAAUGUACUAUUAGUUAAAUGAAAGAGUGUAGUAACCUUGUAUAAGUAGAUUUCUCAAGACUGCUUCACUUUUAAUAUAAUAGAUAUCGAAUUAUUAAUUUUCUUAAAAAUAUUUAGGAUUUUCUUUAAGAACACUAAUUAUUACACUAUUGUCGUAAUUAAGUACUUGUAUUAGUGCGCAAGUGGUGGAUUUGUUUUUGUUAUCUUGACAAUUUGAAAUGAUUCAAAAGUAUAUUAAAAUGAAAGCACCACCCACUCUCUUUUUUUUUUUUAAGUUCACACACCACCCAGUACCUUUUAUCCCGAUUGCAGCCGGCACUGGUGAGAUCAAAGACAAUAUCCUCUUUAGUUUUUUUUUGUCAAAGGGUUUUCUUAAAUUAAUAAUUGGUCCACACAAAAGAUUACAGAAAGAAAAGAUAAGGUAGAAAUGAUUAAGUUUAGCUUAAUCUACUGAAGCUUCUAAGAACAUAUUUAGAAGAAGCGAGAUGAUAAAAGAGAGAAGAAAAAUGAUCCUUAGAUGUUGUUUAGGCUCCAAGUCUUAGGUCUUUGUUAAUCCAAAAUAUGGUCCAGUGUUUAUCAUAUGGUGUUCCAGGGAGGGUGGAAAUUUUUUUUUUUAAAACGCUGUAAUUUGAGAUUCGCACUUGCAACAAAUGAAUAAAGAAUUUGAGAUUCGCACCGCCUACUGACUUGUCUUGGUUUGGUGGUAAAUAAACAUAAAUAGUGGUCUCUGCAGUAAUUAAUUAUCACAGUGCAUUUCUAAGAGUUUAGAUUAGAUAUAUUAUAUUAACUAUAAAAGAUGAAAAAGUGAUUUUCAAUUAGUUUAUGCUUUUUAACGAAGUUUAUUAAGAAAAAGUAAAAAUUUCCAAAAGUUUUUGCAAACUAAAAUUUCCAAAAGUUACUUCAUAAUUUUAUAUGUAAAAACACCCACACGCAAUAUAUCAAAUUUGAAAUCAACCGAAAUUUCAACAUAUACUAGGGAUUAACCCGGGCUACGCCCGGAAUUUUUAUUUUUUUCUAAUUUAAGUUGUUAAAUUAUUUAUAUUUAGGUUAUGAUAUAUAUUUAUAUAAAUGUUAAGAUGCAUGUCAUAAUUAAAAUUUAUUUUUAAAUUUUAACACGUUAAAGUAACAUAUUUUUUACUGUUUAAAUAUUUUUUUGUAAUUUUGUUGGCUAUCUAGUUAUCAUAUUUAGCAAAACUAUUUGUUGAGUAUUUGAAUAAAUAUUUUAGAUAUUUAAUUAAACAGCAGAGUAUUUUCGGUUCGACCACAUGCUCAACAAUCUAUCGAUCCGUAAAAAGAUGGACGAUCUCCUUGGCCAGGUAAGUAAAAUUUUAGCAAAAAUAUCUUUGAUUUUCAAAUAUUAAGUAUAUAACUAUUCUUUUGAAUAUUGUUUUUUUUUAAUUGUAUUUUUUGAUUAAAUUAUUGUAUUAUAAUGUUUAUGUAAAUAUUUUUUGUGAUGUUUGAAUUUGUGUUGUUCGUAUACUUAACCUAGAUGAUAUUGAUAUUUAACAAUUUAUUGUUUUCUGGAAAUAAAAAAUAAUGAUAUAUCAAAAAGUAUCUAAUACUUGUUAAAUGAUAGUAUAAUGUAAAUUACAUCCAUUAUUUGAAAAUAACCAUUUGUUGUUUUUAUUUUUUUUAAAUCAGAAAUUAUUUUUAUUUAAAAACAUUAUUCAUAUAUAAUAUAUUAGUUUAAGUUUGGAAGAUUAAUUUAUAUAUAUAAAUUAUGUAUAUUUAAAAAAAAUUAAGAUAUUAUACAUUGAGUAACUGAAUAAAAGCUGAAUUUCUUAUCUUGAAAAUCAAAUAUUUAUAUUUUUGUCUUCAUGUUGUACUCAUAUUUAUAACUCAGUAUGUUUUUAAAAAACUUAGUUUUAAGUAAUAAACGAAUUUAAUCAAUUAAAUUCAUCACCUAUAAUGUUCUGUAAACUAUAUUUGAAAACUCUCUAAAAUUAUAUUUUAAGCAUAAUAUUACUAUUAUUUAAUUUAAGUUAUUUUAAGCAUAAUAUAUGCUAAACCAACUUAAAUUAUAUUUACAAUAGGACCAUCCUAAACUGGUUAAUAAACCAAAAACAAUACUAAACCAACAUGAACCAAUACCUGAUUUGGCGAGGAAGGAAGUGUUUCGGGAUAAACGCUUGAAUGAUUAUUAACUGUAAUGGUUUGAUCAUGAAAGAGUUAGUACGAAUAUAAAUAAUAAUUUUAUGGAUUUGAUUAAUUUAAAUUUGUAAGAAUAACUUUGAGUCUAUGAAAAGCAAUUCAAUUCCCAUGAAUAAGUUUGGUUUUUGAAAGUUGCGGGUUUCCCAACAAUGAAUCCACCUAACAAAAAGUUCGUUGUUAUAAAAAAUCUCUUUCAAGGUCAUUAAAGGUUUUUGGGACGGCAAGAGUUGAUGGUGGAACCAUUUUUUUGCUCGAGUGCUUUGAAAUUUUCCUUGAUAGUAUGAGGUUGAUGUUGAUGGAAUAAUGAGUUUUAUAGAGACUUUCUUGAUGUAAAACUAUACAUUUUUAUUUUUUUUUGUUAAAUGUGGUAUUUCCAUUUUUAUAUAAUUUACUACCAUUUUAAGAUAGAUGUACAUUUUAAAAUCGAUGUUUAAAUCUUAAUGUACUUUUUUCAUUUUUUAAAAUGUUUAUUUCCAUUUAUUAUAUUUUUUAUUUACGUAAUAUCUAUAUUUUAUAUUUUAAAAUAGAUAUUUAAAUCUUAAUGUACUUUUUCCAUUUUUUUUUAAAUUGUGUAUUUACUUUUAUCAUAUAUUUUAUAUUUUAAGAUAGAUGUUUAAUGCUUAAUGAACUUUUUCCAUUUUUUAAAAAAAUUGUGUAUUUACUUAUUAUUAUAUAUAUAAUUCAUAUAUUAUAUAUUUAUAUUAUUUACUUAUUAUUUAUUUUCCUGUAUAUGUAUUUCCAUUUCUUGUACUUUUUAUUUACUUAAUAUCUCUAUUUUACAUUUUAAGAUAGAUGUUUAAAUCUUAAUGUACGUUUUCUUUUUUUUUUUAAAUUGUAUAUUUCCAUUUGUUAUACUUUCUAUUUACGUAAUAUCUAUAUUUUAAAUUUUAAGAUAUAUUUUUAAAUCUUAAUGUAAUUUUCCAUUUUUUAAAUUGGGUAUUUUCUUAUAAUAUAUAUUUACUUAUUAUUUAUUUUUCUUUAUAUUGUGUAUUUCUAUUUCUUAUACUUUCUAUUUACUAAUAAUUUUAUAAUUUAAGAUAGAUUUACAUUUUAAGAUAGAUGUUUAAAUACUAAUGUAAUUUUUCUAUUUUUUAAAUUGUGUAUUUCCUUUUCUUAUACUUUCUAUUUGCGUAAUAUCUAUAUUUUAUAUUUUAAGAUAGAUGUUUAAAUCUUAAUAUACUUUUUCCAUUGUUUUUAAGUUGUGUAUUUCUUUUUCUUAUACUUUUUAUUUACUUAAUAUCUAUAUUUUACAUUUUAAGAUAAAUGUUUAAUAUUUAAUGUACUCUUUCCAUUUUUUAAAAUUUUUGCAUGUACUUAUUAUUGUAUAUAUAAUUCGUAUAUUUAUAUAUUUAUAAUAUUUACUUAUUAUUUAUUUUUAUAUAUAUUGAGUAUUUCUCUUUCUUAUACUUUAUAUUUAGUUAAUAUCUAUAUUUUAUAUUUUAAGAUAGAUGUUUAAAUCUUAAUGUAUUUUUAUAUUUUUAAUGUAAAACGGCAAUGUUUAAUAGAAGAACUUGGACAAAUAGUCAAAUAGUUAUAUUUAUGUGUUUUUUCUUUUUUUAUAAAAUGGUAAUGUUACAUUAUGGAGAUAAGCCGCUUUUUUUUAGUGAAAAAUGGAAAUCUUACAUAUGUUUAAUGUAGUUUUUCCAUUUUUUUUAUGUUGUAUGUUUACAUAUUAUUGUUAUUUUUAAAUAUAAAUUGGCAAUCUUACAUAUGUUUAAUGUAGUAUUUCCAUUUUUUUUAUGUUGUAUGUUUACAUAUUAUUUAUUAUUUUCGAAAUUAUAUAUAAUGUUUUUUUUUGCAAAAUAGUAAUUUUACAUUAUGGAGAUAAACCGUCUUUUUUAGUGAAAAAUGGUAAUCUUACAUAUGUUUAAUGUAGUUUUUCUAUUUUUUAUGUUGUAUGUUUACAUAUUAUUUCUUUUUAAAUUAAAAAUGUAAAAUGGUAAUCUUACAUAUGUUUAAUGUAGUAUUUCCAUUUUUUAUGUUGUAUGUUUACAUAUAUUUAUUAUUUUCGAAAUUAUAUAUAAUGUUUUUUGUUUUUUUUUAUAAAAUGGUAAUGUUACAUUAUGGAGAUAAGCCGUCUUUUUUUCAAGUGAAAAAUGGUAAUCUUACAUAUGUUUAAUGUAGUUUUUCUAUUUUUUAUGCUGUAUGUUUACAUAUUAUUUAUAAUUUGCAAAAAUUAGUAAUAUUAAAGUGUAAAACUAUAUUUUAUGCCACGUGUCAUCUUUUGGAAGAAGUUUUUUUUGCUGAUGUGGACGCUCUAUGGAGCCUCAAAAGGUUUCUUUUAUUAGUAAGGAUUAUCAAAGGAUAUAAGGACGCGAGACACCACAUUGAUGAUUCACUUAAACUUUAACGUUAACUAGAUUUUGACCCGCGCAGGCGCGCGGGUGUAUAUUUUGAAAAAUAUGUUGAUAUUUGUUUUUCAUGUAAUUAUUAGGAUUUGGAAAAAUGAAUCCGAGGAACAUAACCGAUACCGAUCCAAAGAUAUAGUACCAAACCCAAACAUAAAUUGAUUAAAUAUUCUAAUUAUUCAAAAUUUUGUUAUUUAGAGAACCGAAUCUGAUCCGAACCGAAGUAUUUGGGUAUCCGAAUUUAUCUAAAAAUAGAUUUAUAUACUUAUAUAUAUUAAUUAUUUUUAGAUUUAACGUAUAUAAAACAUCAAAAAUGAUACUUUUAAAUUGGUUUAAAUACUUGAAAAUAUAUAUAGAUAGUCAAAAGUAAAUAUCUGAAAUAGUUAAAGUAUACUCAAAUCACCAAAAAUACAUAAAAUAAUUAUUGAUUUCGUAUCCAAAAUUUUAAAUCAAGCCAAUUGAUAUGUUAAGCUUAAGUAUUAUGACAUAUGUUAUUCAAAUUUAUACGUAAUAUAUUAUUUUAUUUAUACAUUUUGAGAAAUUUAAAAUAUAUAAUGAUUUAAGACUUUAAAAAUAAUUUAAAUUAGUUAUCCAAACCCAAACCAAACCCGCAAAGAUCCAAAUCGAACUCAAACCAAAAUUUAGAAACAUUCUAAUAAGGCUGAAAUCUUUGACCCCGAAAACCCAAAAUACAAACCGAUCAGAACUAAACCCGUAUGGGUAUCCAAAAGCCCAUCCCUAGUCAUUAUUAUAUAUCGUAUUUUAUCAUCAUAUAAUUAAUCGUAUUUUAUAUGUACCAUCAUAUAAGUAAUCAUAUAAUUAAUAGUAUUUUAUACAUACCAUCAUAUAAAUAAUUACAUAUAUUAUAUUUUUAAAACUUAAUAUGAAAUAUGAAAACCAUAAUUUGAGUUGGUAUUUCAAAUUGGGCUUUGUAUUAUAUUUUUCUUAUAUAUAUUGACAAUAUUUUUUUAUAAUGGUUAUUGAAAAAUAGUUUAGUAAAAAUCCAUUUUUGAAUAUAUGUAUAUUUUUGAAUCAAUUUUUGAUAUAAAUCAAAUUUGAAUUAUUAUUUUGAUUUGAAAUAUGUAUAUAAAGUUUAAAUUUUGUUUUAUGGUUAGUUUAGAAAAAAAAAUUUUAGGGAAUUAGAUUGACCCAUUUUGGUAUAUUUUAAAAGUGGCGUAGAUAACUUUCAAUUUUUUAAAAAAACAUAAGCCCAUUAUUUUUUUUCUUAAUACUACUAUCCUUGUUUUCAAACAAAAAUAUUUUUUUUUAAAAGACUGCAAUCCAUGUUUCCAAACACUCCAAAUUUUUAAAAGUCCUAUUCAAGUCUCCAAACACUCCAAUUUUGUACUUGAGUUUUAAUAAGAUAGAUAAUUUAAGCAUGCAAGCUUUAUGAAUAAUAAUCCGUUAACGAAAUAACGGAUGACAACGCCUCUGUUUCUCAGUCGAGAGGAAGCUUCUUAAGCUUACGAAAUUUGAAGUCUUUGUAGACAUAAGGCUUGAACUUAGGAGCAUUAUCUUCGCCAGUUAUCAGCUCCCGCAAAGGUGCGAACUUGUGAUCAAGGCUAGAUUCCACAAAAACCGGCCAUGAUAUUCUCGUCUUCUCUUUAUCCAUUGUCGCUCGAUGCUUUGCACUCAUAUACUUCCCAUUACUCAUCCUCUGCAAAAUCAAUAAAAUUCCAAUUUUUGGAAUUUGCUUGAAAACCCAUAGUUCAUAAUGCUUUGAAAAAUAUAUUUCUAAAAUGUAUAUAAAAGUUUUUUUUCUUCCUUUUAAAUAUACCUUACUAUCAGAGUAGGAUUUGAGGUUUUCAUGGUUCUAUUUGACACAAAAAAUAUUUAUGAAUUAUUUAUUAUUAUUACUUACAUGGAAUUGGUCGCCAACGAUGACGAUGAUUCCGGAAGUGGUAUAUUUGACGUCGAUCCAGUGAUUAUCUUUGAACGCCUGAAGCCCUAACGCUUCAUUAGCAACUAGGAAUGUGAUACCAUUGACAUCAGUGUGAUCAGGAGCUCCUAUGACCAAAUCUUGAUCAGGACACGGCGGAUAGUAAUUGAUCUUCAUUAAAUAUUCCACCGUUUCGCCGCCUAAACCUUCUAUCAAUGCCUCACGUCGUAAACCUAACCCCUCUGAUAGCCAUUCCAUGAUUUUCUCCGAUAGUUUCUUAAGGUGUUUUGCGUAAUCCUCAUUCACUUCCCUUGUCAAAUAAAAUUCUCAAUCAAACGAUUAAUAAAAAGAAACUCAGAAUCUUCUAAUUAAAAACUAUUUUGACAAGUAGACCGACAUAUGUCUUUUUAUAUGGUAUGAUUUUUACUUACGUCCUACUUUCACAUGUGUAAUGUUUUAGCAUAAGUUCGAACAUUUAGUAGACUUGAUACCUGUAAUCCAUAGGAAGCUUAGGCCAGAAUCUGUAACUAACUCUGGACGGGGGCCAAAUGCGGUGAAAGAGAUGAUCGACCCAUGCGUUUCUACCUUCUAGAUCUUUCUGGUACUUGGUUCUGUAUCCUUCUACGUCCACGGAGUCUUCUGGCUUCGCGACGGCUUCCUUCUCCGUCUCGGGAAGCUCGAAGAACUUUGUCCCAACUUCUUUCAACCGCCGUAUCAGCUCCGGCGGGAUCCCGUGGUUAACCACCUGGAAAAUUCCCCAUUCUUCGCUCGCUUUCACGACCGCACGUGCCACGAGAUCUUCGUUGGGGUUGCUUAGGUCGACGAUAGGGACGUCCAUCGUUUUCAGUGCACUCUCUUUUCUACUUUCUUUUCAAUAGUAAACAAUAGCUUUUAGUGGUUUAGAAGUUGAACGGAUGGAGAAGCUGCGAUACGGUAUUUAUAUUUGAAUGUAGCAACUAGCAUCCCAUGACCAACAUGAAUAUCGUGUCACCUCAAUUCACUUUACCAUGUAUUAUUUUUUCUUAGCUUGUUUUUUUCUUUCUUUUUGUCGGCUUUUUCUUAGCUCCAAUGAUCAAAUUUAUUCAGCACUUUUAUUUUCUUUAUUUAAUAAUCCACAUCACCUUUUUUCAUUCCACAUAAUUAUUCAAUAUUGUUAUUUAUUUAUUUUUAACUCGUACAAUAAUUUUGUUUAAUAAAAUUCAACAGCUUACCUCACUAUUUUUAUUUUUUAUUUUAUAUUCUUUAGUAAUUUUGAAAUUACAUAUUAAUAACAAUUUUCUAUUGAAAUUAAAUUAAAAUAAAUAAAAGUGACAUACUUUUAAGUAACUUUUUGUAUUCUUAACUAACUUUUUUUAAAUAGUAAAAAUAACUAAUUAGAAAAUUUUCCAUUCUGGGAAAGUUUCUAUUUAAGGAAAGUUUUCAUUUUGAAAACUUUAAUUUAGGAACCCUAAAAUCUAGACUUUUAUUUAUCGUAUUGCAGUUGACUACUUUUUCUGUCAAUCAUUCUGACCAUUGGCUAAGAUGAGGGUUAUUCUCGUAAAUUCUCGUACAUGACUUAUGAAUUCGAAUAUAAAUAGUUUAGUUCUACUAUGUUCAAUAUGUUUGAAUUGGGUCCGUACGGAGUCUAUUUUGGAGUAUGCUUGUUGGUUAUUAGGUUCUUUGCUUAAACCUAAAAUAAGAAGUUAGAUGAUUCAACUUUGAUUGCUUCAAUUAAUGUGAGUUAUAUAUACAUAGUUAAAUUAUGAGACGAGUUUAAUUGUUAGGCGGAUACAUAGAGUUGAUUAUGUAUGUCAUAUUGUGAUUGUGUGGAUGUUGCGGCCAGCUUGAGUAGACUUGUUGAGCCGCAGCCUAGGAGGUAGAUAAAGCGUCCCAGGGGUGGUGGGUGUGGGCACUAGUCCCAUACUUCGAAUCCUACGUAGAGGGAGACUUGUAGAGGGAGCCUUAUACCAGGGUGUGUGCGAUCACUAAUCUCAUAAUUGGGAUCCUUUCUUGUUCUUUGGGCACUUCAGGUAAUGUGCUUGAUUCAUGUUAGAGUUAAAUUAGGUAUAUUCGGCGUGCUAUGUCCAAGUAUUUGGAUUUCGGGUUUAGCAUCCAAUACCUAAAUAAGUGAAUCCCCUGUUAAUCACCAUUCUUUUCUUCCCAAUUUCAAGUGAGACUAAUGAGUAGAUGAUAUUUGAACGGAUCAGUGCUAUUGGACAUUUUUAUUUCGAUUUUAUUUAGGUUUAAGAUGAGUGGAGAUGGAGUUAUGAGAUGUGUGUUGGAGAUGUUGUUAGUGGCACGCCAUUCUCGAGAGAAGAGGAGACGGGUGUUAAAUUUCGGUAUCAGAUUAUGGUUUGACACUCUUUCAUAAAAAGUUUGAUUAUAUAUACGUUUAAAUCUAAUAAAACAAAUCUUUUUUAAAAAAUAGUAUUAAAAUGAUAAGUUUUGGUAUAAAUAUAUAUUGAAAAUUAAUCUACUAUCAAAUAAUUGAUUUCAAAGAACUAGAGUGAAUAAAUCUAAAUGCUUCAACAACCAAUAGAAAACAACACAUUAUUCAGUUUUUCAUUAAAUCAAAUAUUAAUUUUCAAUUUCAGUCAGAAAGUGACAUGUGUAUUCAUUGCUCCCACAUUUUACUUACUAAACCUGCUGAAAGUAUUCAUAUCUAAGCCAUUUUCUUAUUUUAUUGAACAUGCCAUUGUAUGAGUUCAACUGUUGAAUAAAUUUAUUCAAUAUGCAUUGUAAAUGGUAGUAACACUAAAUACUAAAGCUCGUCAAGUUUUGAACAGUAAAACUAUCAUUACAAGAAAUCAUCACUCACUCCGAAAAAAGCUUCCUAGAUUCCAACUAGUCGGUAAGUUAUCGAUCGCGUACCGACGUAAAAGAAAGCAAAGAAAACUGUAGUGGGUAAUUUAUCGGAGAUUUCCGACAAUAUUUUUGGAUUGGAAUGUCGUCGAAAUUAGUUGUCAGGAUUUCGUUGGAAGUUAAUGUUGAUGUGACUUUACUCUGUAUUUUAUCGAAGAUUUCAGACAAAAAUUUUGAGGUCGGAAUGUCUUUGGAAUCAUUCAUUGACGUUUUGUCGGAAACUAAUAUCAAGUUGAUUUUUUCGGUAUUAUUUCAUUGAUUUCCUACGAAAAUUUAAGGUCAAGAUGUUCUUGAAAUUAUUUAUUGAAUUUUUUAGGAAGUUAACGUGUACUCUAUAUUCUCGGUGAAUUGUGGCAAAGCAUAACCGAAAUGUGCUUCACAAAAUCAAGUUUACAGAAGAUUAAAUUAUUGUGUACAAGUAGAUAGAUAAUAAAUUAUUAUAGGUGAGAAUAUUUAUUGUGAGCAAACAACUCAAUAUUUUUCCCAUAUGUCUUUCUUCUUGUUAAAAUCAAUCUAAAGAAACAAAAGAAUCUGAAAAACUGAGAAAAAAAGAGAUAAAAUUUGAGAGGUUGAACUUUUUUUUGUAAUUUCUAGUCACAAUAUAUACAAAGCUCGUGAAUGGAUGUAUAAUCGGGUAUAUGAAGUUACAUGUGAAAUAAAUAAGGAAUACAAGGAAGGUCAUACUAGAUUUAUGCAAUUUGCUAUAUGAAUAAAGAUAUCUCUUGUGAACAAGGUAAAAUGAGUUGUCCUUGUAGCAAAUGUGAUAAAAUGAGUUGUCCUUGUAGGAAAGGAUUCACACCGGGUAUUAUAUAUGGUUUUUACAUGGAGAGAAUUUUUGGAACAUUGCAUGGUAGUAGUCAUGCUAAUAGAGGCGAGUGUGGAAAUGAAAGAGUAGAAGAUAUUGAUAUAGAAGAAGAAAAUACAAUGAAUAUGGAAGAAGAAAGUGGUGCUCACAUAGUUUGAGAUACGUUUCGUGAAGCCAUUGAGGGGGCUAAUGUUGGUGAGGAUCCUAAUGAACAAGCAAGGCGGUUUUAUGACAUUCUACAAGCAGCUAGGAAUCCGAUCUAUGAAUGAUGAAAAGAUGGUCUAUCAGCUGCAACUAGGUUGAUGAGUAUUUUAAAACAUAAUGGAAUUUUAGCUGAGGUUUGUGUUGACGCAAUUGCAGAUUUUGCUAAAGAUUAUAUGAAUGCAGAUAAUGAUCAUAUUACGAAAUUCAAAAAAUGGUCUCUGGACUAGGAUUACCAUACAAAAUGGCAGACGUAUUGAUAGACCAUGGAUUUGACUCAUUUUCAUCCAUGGUUUAUAGGUGUUUUUUACUAAUAAUUUUUAUAUUAUUGAGUCUAUUUAUUAUAUUUAUAAGAUCAUCAGUGAUUUGGAGAUAAGUGAUGAUUUUGGAGCAUUUUGGAGAUAUUUGGAGCAAGCACCUGAGAUGACCAUCGAGGUCGACCAUCGGUCGAUAUUGGAGAGGAAUAAUCGAUCAGUGUUCAUAUCUUGACAUCGAUCGACAGAGAAGCGCUCAGAAAGCCCGUUUGGUCACAGCUGACUUGAUGCCCAAGUCUUCACCAAUUUACAAGAUUGCAUCUGGCGAGUUUUAACCUAAUUAUAUAAGCUUUGCCACCAUGUUAGAGGCAAAGUGUGCUUUUAUUGUUUUAUUAUUUUCACAGCAAGUUUUUCUAGAAUUUAGAUAGAUUGGAAAGAAGAUCCAAAGUUAUAAUUUAUGAUUGAAACUCCAUUAAUAUCUAUUUACUAUUCUAAUGAAGUUUUCUUACCUAACUGUUGUUAUGAAUUUCUUAGCCAUGUCUGAGUAGUUCCAUUGUUAAAUUUUAGAGUUUAAAUAGGUUAGGAGGAAUUAUCCCCAACUAUAGAUUGCUAAGUUGUGGUAAUUGUCAUUAGGAUUGUUCAUUAAUGCAUGUCUCUAGAUUAGCUACUUAGAACUUGCCCUAGGAUUGAUAGAUAAAAGCGAGAUCUUUAUUCUCAUUCUGAAGACAUUCUAACUGAGCUAAGUUUCUUGCUAUGAGUAAGGCGAGAGCUGAUCUAGUGAGCUUAGUAAGCUAUCAUUCAACCCGCGCAUAAAUCUUAACUGGAAGAACGUCGAUCGAUAUCAUUAUUGAAUAAUUGAUCGACAGAGCGAAAGGUGUAUCGAUCGAUAUCCCUAUAGGAUCACCUAUCGACACUUUCUAUUGGUUGACAUACGAUAGUUGAGAUCAUUAGAUCUAGUUAACAGACAAGUCUAAACAUGCGAAAGCUGAUAGACUUGUAGACUAAUUAGUUGAGCUUUACAUUAUCAUGCAUGCAACUCAUUAGGCAUCUGUAGGAUUAUAAUUCCAAGUUUCCUGAAUAAAAACCCUAAGUCUAACUAUUUCCUUUUAAAGCACCAAAACCUCAAUUAAUCUAUUGAACAAACACUUGUUCAAUAUAAAACUGCAAUUUACAUUUAAAUCUCUAAAACUAUAUAGCUUAACAAAUCAUAUUAGAUUUCUUAGGUUUCCUAGCUCCAUGUGAAUUCGAUCCAUAAGUACUACAACUCGACCUCUUAUUUGAGAGACAAAGAGAGUAUAAAUCACUCCUUAGGGUAGUUUGAGUGGUAUCAUGUAUGCAAAGAUAAUUGCAUGAUUUUUUGAGAGAUGACAACAAUUUGGAAUCAUGCAUGUGGUGGGGAAAGCAAAGAUUUAAAGAAAUGUCUGGGUGAAAAAAAUCCUUACCAGAGAAUGUGGUAUUUGCCAAUCACUGAUAGGUUAAAAAGGUUCAAACAAUCAAAAAUAAUUGCAGCCCCAAUGGGAUGGCACAUUGAAAAUGAAUUCACUGGGAGAAUUUCACAUCCAUCUGAUGCAGAAGCAUCGAAGCAUUUUCUAAAUGUUUAUAAUGAAUUUGAGGCUGAAGCGCUAAAUGUGUAUAUUGGAUUAUGCACUGACAGGUUUAGACUUUUUGGAAAAUCAUGUUGGAAGUAUUCACUAUGACUAGUUAUUGUGACCCCAUAUUAUCUACCAAUGAAACAAAAAUUUAUAUGCUUGACCAAGUUCAUGGACCAGCUCACCCUCGUAGGUCACUUUAUGUGUUCCUACAACCUUUGAUCGAAGGGCUGAAAAUGUUAUGGUUCAAAGGUGUACUCACAUAUUAUGUCUCACUAAAAAAUAAUUUCAAAAUGCAAGCCGUUUUGAUGUGAACAAUUAGUGAUUUCUCAGCUUAUGGAAUGUUAUUGGGUUGUACCACAUAUGGAAUACUAUCAUGUACGUACUAUGAAGAUAAUAAAUAUGCAUUUCAGCUAAAGCAUGGCCAGAAGUCAUGUUGUUUGAUUGUCAUCGUUGGUUCUUACCUCAGAGUUACCUUUACCGGUGUAAUAAAAAGGUUUUUCCUAGAAAUAAAACAGAGUUAUGCAUGAUGAGCCCAUUUCAAGCUAUGAUGUAGCGGUUCUACUCAGACAGUUUCAUAGAAUUUAAUGCAGAUCGCACAAUAGAAUGUGGGGGAGAAAUGGACAUGAAAUAAUUGGUGAUUAUGGUCGGUACCAAAAUUGGCAUAAGAGAAGUAUAUCUUGUGUUUUGCCAUAGUGGAACAACCAUCUUCUUACGCAUACUCUUGAUGUUAUGCAUACUGAGAAAUUUAUUUUUAACAAUAUCACCAACACUGUCUUGAAUGUGCAAGGAAAAAAAAAGAUAAUUGAAAUUGACGUUUGGAUUUGGCUGAUAUAUGUUUGCAUGAAGAGUUACAUUUGAUGGACAAUGGCAAAGCUCUGGUGCCCAUUUUUAGAUUAGAUGCAAGUGCAAGGAAUGAAUUUUUUCAGUGGAUAGUUGUGAAUGAUGAUGUUAGGUUUCCCGGUGGAUAUGCUUCAAAUCUAGCUAUGUAAUUGCAUAGAUGACCACGCUGGUAGAUGAUAUGGGAUGUACAUGUAAUGCUUGUUCCAUUUGCGUUUACUGAACUCUUGCCAAAAAAUGUCUACGAUUCAAUUGCGAGUUAGUUUUAUUAUCAUUUAUUCUACUUAAAUUAGCUAUAUAUAUUAUUUAAAUAUGUGGAUUUAUAAGAUAUUUAUGCAGGGCUUGGAUUUUGUUCUCAGAGAUCUCUGUUCAAAAUCUCUCACUAUCGAUGGAUUACAUAUACUUGAACAAAACAUUCAUGUUAUCAUCUGUAAUCUGGAAAAUAUAUUCACUUUCAUUUUUCAAUGUGAUAGAGCAUCUAAUCAUCUAUUAUUCAAUUUUUAUUUCAACAAAUAUUAAUUUUCAAUUUCAAUUGAAAAGGGAUAUGUGUAUUCAUUGCUCCCACAUUUUAUUUAUUAAAUCCGCUGAGUAUUCAACAAAUCUAAUAUGUCAUUUUCAUUUUAUUGAACAUGCAAUUGUAUGAGUUUAGCUGUUGAAUAAUUUUAUUCAAUAGACAUUGUAAAUGGUAGUAAUACUAAUUAAAUAAUAAAGCUCAUCAACUUUCGAGCAAUUAAACUAUAUAUUGUUACGAGGGUUGCAUAUCCUUACUGUUUAUCCGACUCAUUUUAACUUAUUUUAAAUCAAGUAGUGGUGCUUUAUUCAAUAUAAACUUCAAAAUUGCAAUACCAUAAUUUUUUGCAAGAAUGUAAAAUAAUCAAAGCUAAAAGUUCUUAGUUAAGCAAUAUAAAAUUUAGAAGAAACAUAUUAUAAAUUAGGAAAGUUGCAAUAUAUAUUAAUUUUAUCUAAAUUACUGUAUAUAGGAUUAUAUGUAAGUAUGUAAUUAUGAAUUAUGUUACAUAUUAAUUAUUGAAGAUAUUUACGAAUUGAGUAAUAACGUGGAGGUAGUUGACAAAAAAAAAUCGGUAUAUAUCUAAUACCUGACUGUGAAGCCAUGAGUAAAUUUUUCGUAAAACAAGUAGAGGAUGGUUAAAGAGUAAUUGUUAUUAUAAUAGUGCAUAAGGUACGCCCUAAUUAUUGCAGCGGUUGUGGAAGCAUCAUAGCUUAAUGGUUAAGGUUUAAAGGCUUCUACAUCAAUGUCUGGGGUUCGAAUCCGAGACUAUUCAAAUUUUUGCAGAUUACAGGAAAUCCAGAUUUCAAAUCCCGGAGAAAACGAUUUAUUAAUACAAACUACAAAAAAAAGUAUUAUAAGAGAUCUUUAACAUGGUUCAAGUAAAUCUGGUCAGAAAUGGAUCUUCAUAUGACAUCUCAGAUGAUUUUAGUUAUGCACAGAUCUUUAGAAGACAUGUAGUAUUGUCAAUUAUCGAAUCAUCUAUGUAAUAUUUCUCAUAAAUGUAGUGUCAUAAUAAAUCAUUUCUUCAACAUGGUGCAAGUAGAGUGAAUCUUCAUAGGACGACUCAGAUGAUGUAGUUAUUCGUAGAUUCUCAUAAAACAUGUAAUAUUAUCGAUUAUCAAAUCGUCAUUGUAAUAUUCUCAUAAAUGUAAUGUGAUAAUAAAUAAGCUUUAAAAAGAAAAUUAUUGCAGCUGUUUUGUUUCUCGUUGGCAGAGAUGUGAAUAUUGGACGUAUUUUUUGUGUAUGUAAAGCACUUCUCAGAAUAUAAAACUGUUAUCAUAAUAGUGCAUUAGGUACACUAUUAUCAUUAUUUUCUUUUUGGUAUUGAAUUAUAGUUAUCUUCUUUUUGGUAUAAUUAUUGCACAAUACACGAUAAAGUGACCUAGUGGGUAUUAUGACCUUUUACAGAAGAUAUUGUCAAGAUCGUGUAUCUCGUGCAAGGAGAUUAACAACCAGAAAAUCCAUUGUCCAUAUAAUAUUGUGCGUGAUUUAACUGACGGAGGAACCUUUUGAUUAAACUCAAGUACCACUAAAAUAAAAGUUUUUCUUGGGUUCAGUUCUAGUAUUUUGUUAUUUUAUAUUCUAUUUUUUUAAGAAGUAAACAAAAUAAUAAGAACAAGUUAUAUUAUGUUUUUAAAAUAAAAAUAUAAAAUAAAUAAAAAAUAGUUGCCAAAAAGAUUUUUUUAAAAUAUUUUCAACGUCGUUGUCAAAACAUUAAACCUUAAAUACUAAACUCUAAAUCUUUGGAUAAAUCCUAAAUUUCUGGAUAAAUUUGAAACCCUAAAUCAUAAACACUAAAUACUAAAAUCUUAAAACAUUAAACCUUUAAUCUUAAACUCUAAA
rnacentral:lncRNA from 1 species